rnacentral:misc_RNA from 1 species
GGCACGCCUGUUCGAGCGCCGUUUUCAAAUUAAGGCUAUGCCUUGCGUUGACGAUGUCCGCCUCCGCGGACGCGUAGAAACAUAUCGAGCGCCGUUUUGGUCUCUGUCAGCGUAGCGAAAUCAUCGUUGUACGUUUCCGAGACGGCGCCGGUGUCCGCGAGUUUGGCCUCGAAUCAGGUGGGGAUACCCGCUGAACUUAA